GACGAACGCUGGCGGCGUGCUUAACACAUGCAAGUCGAACGGUGAAGCAGGAGCUUGCUCUUGUGGAUCAGUGGCGAACGGGUGAGUAACACGCGAGCAACCUGCCCCUGACUCUGGGAUAAGCGCUGGAAACGGCGUCUAAUACUGGAUAUGUGAUGUGACCGCAUGGUCUGCAUCUGGAAAGAAUUUCGGUUGGGGAUGGGCUCGCGGCCUAUCAGCUUGUUGGUGAGGUAAUGGCUAACCAAGGCGUCGACGGGUAGCCGGCCUGAGAGGGUGGCCGGGCACACUGGGACUGAGACACGGCCCAGACUCCUACGGGAGGCAGCAGGGGGGAAUAUUGCACGAUGGGCGGAAGCCUGAUGCAGCAACGCCGCGUGAGGGAUGACGGCCUUCGGGUUGUAAACCUCUUUUAGCAGGGAAGAAGCGAAAGUGACGGUACCUGCAGAAAAAGCACCGGCUAACUACGUGCCAGCCGCCGCCGUAA
rnacentral:rRNA from 1 species